GAGUUUGAUCAUGGCUCAGGACGAACGCUGGCGGCACGCCUAACACAUGCAAGUCGAACGGAGAUAUUUUGGUUUACUGAGAUAUCUUAGUGGCGGACGGGUGAGUAACACGUGAGCAACCUGCCUCUGAGAGAGGGAUAGCUUCUGGAAACGGAUGGUAAUACCUCAUAACAUAACGAAGCCGCAUGACUUUGUUAUCAAAGAUUUAUCACUCAGAGAUGGGCUCGCGUCUGAUUAGAUAGUUGGUGAGGUAACGGCUCACCAAGUCGACGAUCAGUAGCCGGACUGAGAGGUUGAACGGCCACAUUGGGACUGAGACACGGCCCAGACUCCUACGGGAGGCAGCAGUGGGGAAUAUUGCACAAUGGGGGAAACCCUGGUGCAGCGAUGCCGCGUGGAGGAAGAAGGUUUUCGGAUUGUAAACUCCUGUCUUAAAGGACGAUAAUGACGGUACUUAGGAGGAAGCUCCGGCUAACUACGUGCCAGCAGCCGCGGUAAUACGUAGGGAGCGAGCGUUGUCCGGAAUUACUGGGUGUAAAGGGAGCGUAGGCGGGAUGGCAAGUCAGAUGUGAAAACUAUGGGCUCAACCCAUAGACCGCAUUUGAAACUGUUGUUCUUGAGUGAAGUAGAGGUAAGCGGAAUUCCUGGUGUAGCGGUGAAAUGCGUAGAUAUCAGGAGGAACAUCGGUGGCGAAGGCGGCUUACUGGGCUUUUACUGACGCCGAGGCUCGAAAGCGUGGGGAGCAAACAGGAUUAGAUACUCUGGUAGUCACGCUGUAAACGAUGAUWCUAGGUGUGGGGGGGACUGACCCUUYCGUGCCGCAKUAAMRCAUAAGUAAUCCMCCUGGGAGUACGGUCGCAAGAU
rnacentral:rRNA from 1 species